rnacentral:rRNA from 1 species
CCUACGGGCGGCAGCAGUGAGGAAUAUUGGUCAAUGGGCGCGAGCCUGAACCAGCCAAGUAGCGUGAAGGAUGACUGCCCUACGGGUUGUAAACUUCUUUUAUAAAGGAAUAAAGUGAGGCACGUGUGCCUUUUUGUAUGUACUUUAUGAAUAAGGAUCGGCUAACUCCGUGCCAGCAGCCGCGGUAAUACGGAGGAUCCGAGCGUUAUCCGGAUUUAUUGGGUUUAAAGGGAGCGUAGAUGGGUUGUUAAGUCAGUUGUGAAAGUUUGCGGCCCAACCGUAAAAUUGCAAUUGAUACAGGCAGUUCUUAGGUCAGUUGAGGUAGGCCGAAUUCGUUGUGUAGCCGUGAAA